rnacentral:rRNA from 1 species
UAGGGAAUCUUCGGCAAUGGACGGAAGUCUGACCGAGCAACGCCGCGUGAGUGAAGAAGGUUUUCGGAUCGUAAAGCUCUGUUGUAAGAGAAGAACGAGUGUGAGAGUGGAAAGUUCACACUGUGACGGUAUCUUACCAGAAAGGGACGGCUAACUACGUGCCAGCAGCCGCGGUAAUACGUAGGUCCCGAGCGUUGUCCGGAUUUAUUGGGCGUAAAGCGAGCGCAGGCGGUUAGAUAAGUCUGAAGUUAAAGGCUGUGGCUUAACCAUAGUACGCUUUGGAAACUGUUUAACUUGAGUGCAAGAGGGGAGAGUGGAAUUCCAUGUGUAGCGGUGAAAUGCGUAGAUAUAUGGAGGAACACCGGUGGCGAAAGCGGCUCUCUGGCUUGUAACUGACGCUGAGACUCGAAAGCGUGGGGAGCAAACAGGAUUAGAUACCCUGGUAGUCCACGCCGUAAACGAUGAGUGCUAGGUGUUAGACCCUUUCCGGGGUUUAGUGCCGUAGCUAACGCAUUAAGCACUCCGCCUGGGGAGUACGACCGCAAGGUUG